rnacentral:lncRNA from 1 species
GAGCCCAAAAAUAACCGCCCGAAGGCCGGGGCGCCAAGUUCGUCCAGCGGAAAAAGGCCACAAAAACCGGUGGGCUACAGGCUUGGGGCGUGGGGCUGGCCAACUUCGUCCGCCGGACUCGGAAUGGCGCGAGACUUUGUGAGGCGCCUCCAUGUGCCAAAAAUAGGCCGCGGGUACAGCCGCACCCGAAAAUAACCGCCCGAACACCGGCGCGCCAAGUUCGUCCAGCGGAAAAUGGCCACCAAAAAUGGUGGGCUAUAGCUUCGGGGGGUGUGGCUGGCCAACUUCGUCCGCCGGACUCGGAAUGGCAUGAGACUUUGCGAGGCACCUCCGUGUCCUAAAAAUAGGCCGCGGGCACAGUCGCGCCCAAAGAUAACCACCUGAAGGCCGGGGCACCAAGUUCGUCCAGCGGAAAAAGGCCACAAAAACGGGUGGGCUAUAGCCUUGGGGGGUGGGGCUGGCCAACUUCGUCCGCCGGACUCGGAAUGGCGCGAGACUUUUCGAGGCACCUCCGUGUGCCAAAAAUAGGCCGCGGGCACAGCCGCGCCCAAAAAUAACGGCCUGACGGCCGGGGCGCCAAGUUCGUCCCGCGGAAAAAGGCCACAAAACCGGGUGGGCUAUAGCCUUGGGGGGUGGGGCUGGCCAACUUCGUCCGCCGGACUCGGAAUGGUGCGAGACGUUGCGAGGCGCCUCCGUGUGCCAAAAAUAGGCUACGGUCACAGCCGCGCCCAAAAAAUAACCUCGCGAAGGCCGGGACGCCAAGUUCGUCCACGGGAAAAAGUCCACAAAAACGGGUGGGCUAUAGCCUUGGGGGGUGGGGCUGGCCAACUUCGUCCGCUGGACUCGGAAUGGCACGAGACUUUGCGAGGCACCUCCGUGUGCCGAAAAUAGGCCGCGGACACAGGCGCGCCCAAAAAUUAACUGCCCGAAGGCCGGGGCGCCAAGUUCGUCCAGCGGAAAAAGGCCACAAAACCGGGUGGGCUAUAGCAUUGGGGGGUGGGGCUGGCGAACUUUGUCCGCCGGACUCGGAAUGGCGCGAGACUAUGCGAGGUGCCUCCGUGUGCCAAAAAUAGGCUACGGGAACAGCCGCGCCCAAAAAUAACCUCGCGAAGGCCGGGACGCCAAGUUCGUCCAGCGGAAAAAGUCCACAAAAACGGGUGGGCUAUAGCCUUGGGGGGUGGGGCUGGCCAACUUCGUCCGCUGGACUCGGAAUGGCACGAGACUUUGCGAGGCACCUCCGUGUGCCAAAAAUAGGCCGCGGACACAGGCGCGCCCAAAAAUUAACUGCCCGAAGGCCGGGGCGCCAAGUUCGUCCAGCGGAAAAAGGCCACAAAACCGGGUGGGCUAUAGCCUUGGGGGGUGGGGCUGGCCAACUUCGUCCGCCGGACUCGGAAUGGCGCGAGACUUUGCGAGGCACCUCUGUGUGCCAAAAAUAGGCCACGGCCACAGCCGCGCCCAAAAAUAACCUCGCGAAAACCGGGGCGCCUUGUUCGUCCAGUAGAAAAAGUCCACAAAAACGGGUGGGCUAUAGCCUUGGGGGGUGGGGCUGGCCAACUUCGUCCGCCGCACUCGGAAUGGUGCGAGACCUUGCGAGGUGCCUCCGUGUGCCAAAAAUAGGCCGCGGGCACAGCCGCGCCCAAAAAUAACCACCCGAAGGCCGGGGCGCCUUGUUCGUCCAGUAGAAAAAGUCCACAAAAACGGGUGGGCUAUAGCCUUGGGGGGUGGGGCUGGCCAACUUCGUCCGCCGGACUCGGAAUGGCGCGAGACUUUGCGAGGCACCUCUGUGUCCUAAAAAUAGGCCGCGGGCACAGUCGCGCCCAAAAAUAACCACCUGAAGGCCAGGGCACCAAGUUCGUCCAGCGGAAAAAGGCCACAAAAACCGGUGGGCUAUAGCCUUGGGAGGUGGGGCUGGCCAACUUCGUCCGCCGGACUCGGAAUGGCGCAAGACUUUGCGAGGCACCUCCGUGUGCCAAAAAUAGGCUACGGGAACAGCCGCGCCCAAAAAUAACCUCGCGAAGGCCGGGACGCCAAGUUCGUCCAGCGGAAAAAGUCCACAAAAACGGGUGGGCUAUAGCCUUGGGGGGCGGGGCUGGCCAACUACGUCCGUCGGACUCAGAAUGGCGCGAGAUGUUGCGAGGCCCCUCCGUGUACCAAAAAUAGGCUGUGGGCACAGCCGCGCCCAAAAAUAACCGCCCGAAGGCCGGGGCGCCAAGUUCGUCCUGCGGAAAAAGGCCACAAAAACGGGUGGGCUAUAGCCUUGGGGGUGGGGCUGGCCAAAUUCGUCCACCGGACUCGGAAUGGUGCGAGACUUUGCGAGGUGCCUCCGUGUGCCAAAAAUAGGCCGCGGGGACAGCAGCGCCUAAAAAGAACCGCCUGAAGGCCGGGAUGCCAAGUUCGUCCAGCGGAAAAAGGCCCCAAAAACGGGUGGGCUAUAGCCUUGGGGGGUGGUGCUGGCCAACUACGUCCGUCGGACUCAGAAUGGCGCGAGAUGUUGCGAGGCCCCUCCGUGUACC